rnacentral:rRNA from 1 species
GACGAACGCUGGCGGCGUGCUUAACACAUGCAAGUCGAACGGAAAGGCCCUGCUUUUGUGGGGUGCUCGAGUGGCGAACGGGUGAGUAACACGUGAGUAACCUGCCCUUGACUUUGGGAUAACUUCAGGAAACUGGGGCUAAUACCGGAUAGGAGCUCCUGCUGCAUGGAGGGGGUUGGAAAGUUUCGGCGGUUGGGGAUGGACGCGCGGCUUAUCAGCUUGUUGGUGGGGUAGUGGCUUACCCAGGCUUUGACGGGUAGCCGGCCUGAGGGCGUGACCGGCCACAUUGGGACUGAGAUACGGCCCAAACUCCUACGGGAGGCAGCAGUGGGGAAUAUUGCACAAUGGGCGGAAGCCUGAUGCAGCAACGCCGCGUGCGGGAUGACGGCCUUCGGGUUGUAAACCGCUUUCGCCUGUGACGAAGCGUGAGUGACGGUAAUGGGUAAAGAAGCACCGGCUAACUACGUG